AACGAUUAAGACUCUCUUCGGAGAGUGUAUAAAGUGGCGCACGGGUGAGUAACACGUAGGUAAUGUACCUUUGGGUGGGGAAUAACUUAGGGAAACUUAAGCUAAUACCGCAUAAUGCAGCGGCUCGACAUCGAGACAGUUGUUAAAGGAGUAAUCCACCUAAAGAGCAGCCUGCGGCAGAUUAGCUAGUUGGUAAGGUAAUGGCUUACCAAGGCUACGAUCUGUAACCGACCUGAGAGGGUGGUCGGUCACACUGACACUGAAUAACGGGUCAGACUCCUACGGGAGGCAGCAGUCGGGAAUUUUGGGCAAUGGGCGAAAGCCUGACCCAGCAACGCCGCGUGAAGGAUGAAGUAUUUCGGUAUGUAAACUUCGUAAGAAUAGGAAGAAUAAAUGACGGUACUAUUUGUAAGGUCCGGCUAACUACGUGCCAGCAGCCGCGGUAAUACGUAGGGACCAAGCGUUGUUCGGAUUUACUGGGCGUAAAGGGCGCGUAGGCGGCGUGGUAAGUCAGCUGUGAAAUCUCCGAGCUUAACUCGGAACGGUCAGCUGAUACUGCUGUGCUAGAGUACAGAAAGGGCAAUCGGAAUUCUUGGUGUAGCGGUGAAAUGCGUAGAUAUCAAGAGGAACACCUGAGGCGAAGGCGGGUUGCUAGGCUGAUACUGACGCUGAGGCGCGAAAGCUAGGGUAGCAAACGGGAUUAGAUACCCCGGUAGUCCUAGCCCUAAACGAUGAAUGCUUGGUGUCUGGAGUUUUAAAUCUCUGGGUGCCGUCGCUAACGCUUUUAGCAUUCCGCCUGGG
rnacentral:rRNA from 1 species